rnacentral:rRNA from 1 species
UGGGGAAUAUUGGACAAUGGGCGAAAGCCUGAUCCAGCCAUGCCGCGUGAGUGAUGAAGGCCUUAGGGUUGUAAAGCUCUUUCGCCAGGGACGAUAAUGACGGUACCUGGAUAAGAAGCCCCGGCUAACUUCGUGCCAGCAGCCGCGGUAAUACGAAGGGGGCUAGCGUUGUUCGGAAUCACUGGGCGUAAAGCGCAUGCAGGCGGAUCGUUAAGUCGGGGGUGAAAGCCCGAGGCUCAACCUCGGAACUGCCUUCGAUACUGGCGAUCUUGAGUCCGGGAGAGGUGAGUGGAACUCCGAGUGUAGAGGUGAAAUUCGUAGAUAUUCGGAAGAACACCAGUGGCGAAGGCGGCUCACUGGCCCGGUACUGACGCUGAGAUGCGAAAGCGUGGGGAGCAAACA